GAUCAUGGCUCAGAACGAACGCUGGCGGCGCGUCUUAAGCAUGCAAGUCGGACGGCAAGGGGAGCUUGCUCCCCCCUAGAGUGGCGGACUGGUGAGUAACGCGUGGGUGACCUACCCUUGAGAUGGGGAUAGCCAUUAGAAAUAGUGGAUAAUACCGAAUACGCUCUUUUUGCUGUGGCGAGAAGAGGAAACAGGCUACGGCCUGGCUCGAGGAUGGGCCCGCGUCCCAUUAGCUAGUGGUGAGGUAACGGCCCACCAAGGCGACGAUGGGUAUCCGGCCUGAGAGGGUGUACGGACACAUUGGGACUGAGAUACGGCCCAAACUCCUACGGGAGGCAGCAGCUAAGAAUAUUCCGCAAUGGACGAAAGUCUGACGGAGCGACGCCGCGUGGAUGAAGAAGGCCGAAAGGUUUAGUAAAAUCCUUUUGCUGAUGAAGAAUAAGUGGUGUAGGGAAUGACAUCAUGAUGACAUUAGUCGGUGAAUAAGCCCCGGCUAACUACGUGCCAGCAGCAGC
rnacentral:rRNA from 1 species